CACGGAGGGUGCAAGCGUUAUUCGGAAUCACUGGGCGUAAAGAGCGCGCAGGCGGUUUCUUAAGUCGGAUGUGAAAGCCCGGGGCUCAACCCCGGAAGUGCAUUUGAAACUACUGAACUUGAGUCUGGGAGAGGAAAAUGGAAUUCCUGGUGUAGGGGUGAAAUGCGUAGAUAUCAGGAGGAACACCGGUGGCGAUGGCGACUUCCUGGACCAAUACUGACGCUGAGGCGCGAAGGCGUGGGGAGCAAACAGGAUUAGAUACCCUGGUAGUCCACGCAGUAAACGAUGAACGCUAGGUGUUGCGGGUAUUGGUCUCUUCUGUGACGCAGUUAACGCAUUAAGCGUUCCGCCUGGGGAGUACGGUCGCAAGACUAAAACUCAAAGGAAUAGACGGGGGCCCGCACAAGCGGUGGAGCAUGUGGUUUAAUUCGACGCUACGCGAAGAACCUUACCUGGGUUUGACAUCCCGGGAAUCUUGUGGAGACACAAGAGUGCCCUUCGGGGAGCCCGGUGACAGGUGCUGCACGGCUGUCGUCAGCUCGUGUCGUGAGAUGUUGGGUUAAGUCCCGCAACGAGCGCAACCCUUAUUUUUAGUUACCAGCGUUCAGUUGGGGGCUUUUAAGAUGCUGCCCCGGUCAACGGGGAGGAAGGUGGGGAUGACGUCAAGUCCUCAUGGCCCUUAUGCCCAGGGCUACACACGUGCUACAAUGGGUAGGACAAAGGGUCGCCACAUCGCGAGAUGGAGCCAAUCUAUUAAAGCAGUUUCUAGUUGGGAUGUGAUUUUGCAAUUGGACUCCAGGAAGCCGGAAUCGUUAUUAUUCGAGGUUCAGCAUGCCACGGUGAAUACGUUCCCGGGUCU
rnacentral:rRNA from 1 species